rnacentral:ncRNA from 2 species
CUACGGACUUAAGGUAAAUUGAGCCUUGAGGUGAGAAAUUCCUCAAGUGUAAGCUCUCAAAUUCAGGGAAACCUAAAUCUGAUACGUCAGACAAGGCAAUCCUGAGCCAAGCCAAAGACUUUAGAAAUGAGGGAAUUUCCCCAAUCUAAAAUCAAAACUUUGGAAGGUGCAGAGACUCGACGGGAGCUACCCUAACGUUAAGCCGAGGGUAAAGAGAGAGUCCAAUUCUCAACGCCAAUGGGCA